UGAAGCAUUUCAGCAAAGGGGGAAGAGCUCUUUGUUUCACCAAAAACCCUUGGCUUUGAUUAAAUUUCAAUAACUUUUGAUCCGGAACUCCGAUCGUUGCACCGUUUGCGACCAUGCGUUCACAGUGACGAGCUCUACAAAGUCUGGUACCUUUUAAGGAUCAAAUUGACUUGAGGAAUUGGUGAACUUUGGUUUGAUUGAGGCACAUACAAGGUGUAUAGGUGUAAAUGCUGGAGCUUGAAUUAUGAGCAUGGGAACCUUGUGGAGGUUGGGUACUUGAACUUCAAUGAUUUUGGGGGCUUGAGGGGCUAUGUUGGUUGGUGUUUUGCCUUGGACAAUACGUGAAAAUCGGCCAAGGUAUAAUUUAAGUUUCACGUAUUUAAUAUAUAAUGUUCUGUGAAAAUCGAACUUGGAAUGCUAAUUAAAGAUUUAUUGGUGCUUGUAAAGUGGAGAAGGUGAAUGAAUAUGAAUUGUAGUGGUUUGAUGGUGAUUAUUGUGACUAGAGUAAUGAGUUAUUGAUAAAGAGUUUAUGUAUGUAUUGGUGUAUGAUUGACUAAAGUAAAGUGAUGGAAGCUUUGGUAUUAUAAUUGGUAAGAAUAUGAUGUGAGUGAUGAAUUAAUGAAUGACGAAUUGAUGAUGAAUUUGGUGCUUGUUGGAUGAAUUAUGAAUGAUGAAUUGAUGAUGCUAU